rnacentral:pre_miRNA from 11 species
GUUGCUGCAGCUGGUGUUGUGAAUCAGGCCGACAAAAAGCGCAUCUUACUAUCCGGCUAUUUCACUACACCAGGGUUGCAUCA